GUCUUCGUGGAGUAAUGAAUUUCACUCCCGUCCCAUUUACAAGCUAUCUGCCAGAUUAUUUGGGAGAGCUGGUGGUUCGAAUCCACCCGAAGACA